UUCGGUGGUCAUAGCGUGAGGGAAACGCCCGGUUACAUUCCGAACCCGGAAGCUAAGCCUCA
rnacentral:rRNA from 1 species